UAGGGAAUCUUCGGCAAUGGGGGCAACCCUGACCGAGCAACGCCGCGUGAGUGAAGAAGGUUUUCGGAUCGUAAAGCUCUGUUGUAAGAGAAGAACGUGUGUGAGAGUGGAAAGUUCACACAGUGACGGUAACUUACCAGAAAGGGACGGCUAACUACGUGCCAGCAGCCGCGGUAAUACGUAGGUCCCGAGCGUUGUCCGGAUUUAUUGGGCGUAAAGCGAGCGCAGGCGGUUUAAUAAGUCUGAAGUUAAAGGCAGUGGCUUAACCAUUGUUCGCUUUGGAAACUGUUAAACUUGAGUGCAGAAGGGGAGAGUGGAAUUCCAUGUGUAGCGGUGAAAUGCGUAGAUAUAUGGAGGAACACCGGUGGCGAAAGCGGCUCUCUGGUCUGUAACUGAUGCUGAGGCUCGAAAGCGUGGGGAGCAAACAGG
rnacentral:rRNA from 1 species